AUUGAACGCUGGCGGCAGGCCUAACACAUGCAAGUCGAACGAGUGGCGGACGGGUGAGUAAUGUCUGGGAAACUGCCCGAUGGAGGGGGAUAACUACUGGAAACGGUAGCUAAUACCGCAUACCAUCGGAUGUGCCCAGAUGGGAUUAGCUAGUAGGUGGGGUAACGGAUCACCUAGGCGACGCUCCCUAGCUGGUCUGAGAGGAUGACAAGCGACACGGGAACUGAGACAAGGUCCAGACUCCUACGGGAGGCAGAAGUGGGGAAUAGUGAACAAUGGGCGCAAGCCUGAUGCAGCCAUGCCGAGUGUAUGAAGAAGGCCUUCGGGUUGUAAAGUACUUUCAGCGGGGAGGCGUUACCCGCAGAAGAAGCACCGGCGAACUCCGUGCCAGCAGCCGCGGUAAUAC
rnacentral:rRNA from 1 species